CGAUGAACCACUUCGGUGGGGAUUAGUGGCGAACGGGUGAGUAACACGUGGGCAAUCUGCCCUGCACUCUGGGACAAGCCCUGGAAACGGGGUCUAAUACCGGAUACUGAUCACUGCAGGCAUCUGUGGUGUUCGAAAGCUCCGGCGGUGCAGGAUGAGCCCGCGGCCUAUCAGCUUGUUGGUGAGGUAAUGGCUCACCAAGGCGACGACGGGUAGCCGGCCUGAGAGGGCGACCGGCCACACUGGGACUGAGACACGGCCCAGACUCCUACGGGAGGCAGCAGUGGGGAAUAUUGCACAAUGGGCGAAAGCCUGAUGCAGCGACGCCGCGUGAGGGAUGACGGCCUUCGGGUUGUAAACCUCUUUCAGCAGGGAAGAAGCGAAAGUGACGGUACCUGCAGAAGAAGCGCCGGCUAACUACGUGCCAGCAGCCGCGGUAAUACGUAGGGCGCGAGCGUUGUCCGGAAUUAUUGGGCGUAAAGAGCUCGUAGGCGGCUUGUCACGUCGGUUGUGAAAGCCCGGGGCUUAACCCCGGGUCUGCAGUCGAUACGGGCAGGCUAGAGUUCGGUAGGGGAGAUCGGAAUUCCUGGUGUAGCGGUGAAAUGCGCAGAUAUCAGGAGGAACACCGGUGGCGAAGGCGGAUCUCUGGGCCGAUACUGACGCUGAGGAGCGAAAGCGUGGGGAGCGAACAGGAUUAGAUACCCUGGUAGUCCACGCCGUAAACGGUGGGCACUAGGUGUGGGCAACAUUCCACGUUGUCCGUGCCGCAGCUAACGCAUUAAGUGCCCCGCCUGGGGAGUAC
rnacentral:rRNA from 1 species